rnacentral:rRNA from 1 species
GUAGGUGGCAAGCGUUGUCCGGAAUUAUUGGGCGUAAAGCGCGCGCAGGCGGUUCUUUAAGUCUGAUGUGAAAGCCCACGGCUCAACCGUGGAGGGUCAUUGGAAACUGGAGAACUUGAGUACAGAAGAGGAAAGCGGAAUUCCACGUGUAGCGGUGAAAUGCGUAGAGAUGUGGAGGAACACCAGUGGCGAAGGCGGCUUUCUGGUCUGUAACUGACGCUGAGGCGCGAAAGCGUGGGGAGCAAACAGGGAUUAGAUACCCUGGUAGUCCACGCCGUAAACGAUGAGUGCUAAGUGUUAGGGGGUUUCCGCCCCCUUAGUGCUGCAGCUAACGCAUUAAGCACUCCGCCCGGGGAUACGGCCGCAAGGCUG